AACGAACGCUGGCGGCAUGCCUAACACAUGCAAGUCGAACGAGACCUUCGGGUUUAGUGGCGCACGGGUGCGUAACGCGUGGGAACCUGCCCUUAGGUUCGGAAUAACUCCCCGAAAGGGGUGCUAAUACCGGAUAAUGUCUGCGGACCAAAGAUUUAUCGCCUUUGGAUGGGCCCGCGAUGGAUUAGCUAGUUGGUAGGGUAAAAGCCUACCAAGGCGACGAUCCAUAGCUGGUCUGAGAGGAUGAUCGGCCACACUGGGACUGAGACACGGCCCAGACUACUACGGGAGGGAGCAGUGGGGAAUAUUGGACAAUGGGCGAAAGCAUGAUCCAGCAAUGCCGCGUGAGUGAUGAAGGCCUUAGGGUUGUAAAGCUCUUUUACCCGGGAUGAUAAUGACAGUACCAGGAGAAUAAGCCCCGGCUAACUCCGUG
rnacentral:rRNA from 1 species